GUCCGUUGCUUGGAGAAAUGAAAAGGAAACUCUUGACUUCUGGAUCGGAAUUCGCCUGCUUAACCUAUUCAAACCAUCAAGAUGUGGAGUUUCAUUGUUAUUACUUUAGGAUUUUGCUACGGGGCACUGGGUGCAGAGGAUGUAGUGUGCCGUCUACAAGCUGAAAGGGCCUGUCCAGUCCAUUUCAAUAUCCAACUUUUGUACUUUAAAACUCUUCUUUUUGAACUUUAUUAGAAACUUGUACAGAGUGAAGCAGUGCAUCGCCGAUUCUUUAAAGAGCUGUAAUUCAGAUAAUGCUGGAGACAGUAACAAUGAUGGUGAAAUAGAUAUCGGGUACCGUCAAAAGUUGAAAGAUUCUGAACGAUUUAUUGAUGUCACGACUGAACUUCAUCGAGAUUUUGUGCCAUAUCUGUCCUGCCUGAGAUCAACUAUGGAAACCGAAAACGAGCAACAAGUCUGCCGAGGUUAUUCGAACAAUGCUAUUAGAUUCCUUAGAAAUCGCAUAGAAAGCAUAGCAAGGAGGGCGGGUGGAGAUGGAAGCGACUAUUCGGAAAUUCGCAAUGAAAUAAACUAUUGUUUGAGAAUUCUCUUCGAUAUGAACUGCUUUAUAAUUCAAUCCAUAUCAAGCUGUGAUUCUGGUGUGAAGAAGUCUAUUCUUGAAAUAAUCAAGAAAGCUGGGAGCUUGGAUGAGCAGUGUCCUCCGUCAACUCGCCUAGAUGUUAUUGAGCUGCUGGGUGCCUUAAAGCUGGUGACAUGAGAGGAAAUCCACAUCGGAGAACUCAUUGAAAGCGUCUCAUUUUUUUAAGGAUAGAAUUCCUCCCAAACUUGCCUCUUUCAAAUAAUAUGUGCAUUAACCUUUUGGUUCUUCAAAUGGAAAGGAUAUUUUCUUUGCGUUUGAAUGUCAAACAUAUUGCUUGUAAAUGAUUACGUCCGAAAUUGCCAUUAUAAAAUGUAAUCAGGAAGAAUAUAAAUUUUUGUUUUUCUCUAAUAUUCUUAUUUGAUAUUUUGUAAUUCUUUU